UAUGUGAUCGUCUCUCGCAUAUCAAUAAGCGGAGGAAAAGAAACUAACAAGGAUUCCCCUAGUAACGGCGAGUGAAGCGGGAAGAGCUCAAAUUUGAAAUCUUAAAGGGUUUCCCUUUACGAAUUGUAGUUUAAAGAAGUGUUUUCUGUUGAGGUUUUGGUAAAAGUUCUUUGGAAUAGGACAUCAUAGAGGGUGAGAAUCCCGUAUUUGACCUUUACUUUCAACUUUGUGAUACACUUUCAAAGAGUCGGAUUGUUUGGGAAUGCAGUCCAAAAUGGGUGGUAAAUUUCAUCUAAAGCUAAAUAUUGGCGAGAGACCGAUAGCGAACAAGUACCGUGAGGGAAAGAUGAAAAGAACUUUGAAAAGAGAGUUAAACAGUACGUGAAAUUGUCAAAAGGGAAGCGUUUGACACCAGUGUUGUUUUUCUGAAAAUCAAUUAAAGGACUGUUUAUGCUAAGUUGUUUAGACUUUAUCAGCUAUCUGUUUAGUUUUGAGCUUUUCUUUAAUGCACUUUUCAGUUAACAAGUCAACAUCAAUUUCUUUUGCUGUAAAAAAGCUUGAGGAAGGUGGCUUGAGAUUCGUCUUAAGUGUUUAUAGCCUCUUGCCUAUGCAGUCGGAGAGAUUGAGGUCUGCAGCGUAGAUCCUUCGGGGCUAAAUGCAUUUGUGCUAAGUUAUAGCAUUUUAUAGACAACUUGUUGACUAUGAUUUGUCUUGUAGCUUACUCGCUUAUGUUAUUUUACCUACGCUUAGGAUGUUGAAGAUAUGCGCGACACG
rnacentral:rRNA from 1 species